UAUGGCCAUAUCACAUUGAAACAUUGGUUCUCAUAUGAUCACUAAAGUUAAGCAAUGUUGGGCCAGCUCAGUACUUAAAUGGGUGAUUGCUUGGAUGUGCAGGUGGUGCAA